UACGGAGGGUGCGAGCGUUGUCCGGAAUCACUGGGCGUAAAGGGCGCGUAGGCGGCGCGGGGAGUCGUCGGUGAAAGCUCAGGGCUCAACCCUGAGUCGGCCGGUGAUACUCCCGUGCUCGAGCACUGUAGAGGCAGGUGGAAUUCCGGGUGUAGCGGUGGAAUGCGUAGAGAUCCGGAAGAACACCGGUGGCGAAGGCGGCCUGCUGGGCAGUAGCUGACGCUGAUGCGCGACAGCGUGGGGAGCAAACAGG
rnacentral:rRNA from 1 species